rnacentral:rRNA from 1 species
GAUGAACGCUGGCGGCGUGCCUAAUACAUGCAAGUCGAGCGAAUGGAUUAAGAGCUUGCUCUUAUGAAGUUAGCGGCGGACGGGUGAGUAACACGUGGGUAACCUGCCCAUAAGACUGGGAUAACUCCGGGAAACCGGGGCUAAUACCGGAUAACAUUUUGAACCGCAUGGUUCGAAAUUGAAAGGCGGCUUCGGCUGUCACUUAUGGAUGGACCCGCGUCGCAUUAGCUAGUUGGUGAGGUAACGGCUCAUCAAGGCAACGAUGCGUAGCCGACCUGAGAGGGUGAUCGGCCACACGGGGACUGAGACACGGCCCAGACUCCUACGGGAGGCAGCAGUAGGGAAUCUUCCGCAAUGGACGAAAGUCUGACGGAGCAACGCCGCGUGAGUGAUGAAGGCUUUCGGGUCGUAAAACUCUGUUGUUAGGGAAGAACAAGUGCUAGUUGAAUAAGCUGGCACCUUGACGGUACCUGCAGAAAAAGCACCGGCUAACUACGUGCCAGCAGCCGCAGUAA